rnacentral:rRNA from 1 species
AGAGUUUGAUCCUGGCUCAGGACGAACGCUGGCGGCGCGCCUAAAACAAUGCAAUGUCGGACGGAGAAGCCCGGGCCUUGCCCUGGUGUACAGUGGCGAACGGGUGAUUAACACGUGAGGAACCUGCCUCGAAGACCGGGACAACUCCGGGAAACCGGUGUUAAUACCGGAUGCCUUCGACCGGAUCGCAUGGUCUGGUGAAGAAAUGGAUUCCGCUUCGGGGAUGGCCUCGCGGCCUAUCAGUUAGUUGGUGAGGUAACGGCUCACCAAGGCGACGACGGGUAGCUGGUCUGAGAGGAUGUCCAGCCACACUGGGACUGAGACACGGCCCAGACUCCUACGGGAGGCAGCAGUUAGGAAUCUUGCGCAAUGGACGAAAGUCUGACGCAGCGACGCCGCGUGCGGGAUGAAGGCCCUCGGGUUGUAAACCGCUUUCAGCAGGGACGAAAUUGACGGUACCUGCAGAAGAAGCCCCGGCCAACUACGUGCCAGCAGCCGCGGUAAUACGUAGGGGGCAAGCGUUGUCCGGAUUUAUUGGGCGUAAAGAGCUCGUAGGUGGUUCGGUAAGUCGGAUGUGAAAUCUCCAGGCUCAACCUGGAGGGGUCAUUCGAUACUGCCGUGACUAGAGUUCGGUAGGGGAGUGUGGAAUUCCUGGUGGAGCGGUGAAAUGCGCAGAUAUCAGGAGGAACACCCGUAGCGAAGGCGGCACUCUGGGCCGAUACUGACACUGAGUAGCGAAAGCGUGGGGAGCGAACAGGAUUAGAUACCCUGGUAGUCCACGCCGUAAACGUUGGGCACUAGGUGUGGGACUCUAUCGACGGGUUCCGUGCCGUAGCUAACGCAUUAAGUGCCCCGCCUGGGGAGUACGGCCGCAAGGCUAAAACU